UAAAUAAGUUUUAAGUGCCCCUAUACUUUCCCUUCUCUAUACAAUGAACCAAAAAAAAAAAAAUAUCCCCAAACUGACUCCGCCACAGACUCCACCGUGAAGCUCGUCGCCGGCCUCAUUUCGCAUCCAUUCCGUCAACUCCAAGCCUGAGACUGAAGACGCCAACGGAGAAAACACCAAUCGGGGGAAAGAUCGAGACUGAGAUUGAGAUGGGGACCGAAUACGUGACCGCGACUGGGAGUGAUAGGGGUGAGAUCGAGAUUGCGAAAGGAAUAUAGACAGAGAGCGAGAGAGAGACCAUGAGCGUGACUGUUGAGGUUCGGAUUGUGUGAAACAAUCAAGAGUUUUAGGUUGUUCUGUUCUUCUGGUUAUUAAUCGAGCUCCAAGUUCGUAGCUUUGGAUGUUAGUCUGAAUUGAAAGUUGGAUGUUAGUCUGAACUGAAGAUUGGUUCUACUACGAUUGAAGUAAGGACAAAAGAGGGAGGUGUUCUUGCAAUCAAGAAGCGUAAGGAGAUAAUAAGAAGAAAGGAGAUAAGAGAGCCAGUCAGCCAGAAUUGCUAGGCCACAAGUGUCUGACUAUUUGGAGUUUCCAACAUGGAUCGGUUGGUGAUACUCAGAAUCAUUUCCUCAAAAACAGAAGCUUCCAGCUUUUGGAGUAGUGGGUUCCAAGCUCUGUGAGAAAGUUUGAAUCAUGCCAAGGACCUCAGAUCAGGAGAACAUUAACAUGAAUGAAGAGUCUGGUAUCCAUCAUUAUAUAGAAGGAUGAUAGUUUAUAAGUAUUUUUUCGAGACUGGGUGAAUAAUGUUUGUUUUAUGAAAUGAUGUGUAUCUUGUGGAUGUUUAUUAUAUAUAAAUUGGAUAUUUUGCAAAUUAA